AUUGAACGCUGGCGGCAUGCCUUACACAUGCAAGUCGAACGGCAGCAUGGAGAGCUUGCUCUCUGAUGGCGAGUGGCGAACGGGUGAGUAAUGCAUCGGAACGUACCGUGUAAUGGGGGAUAACGUAGCGAAAGUUACGCUAAUACCGCAUACGACCUGAGGGUGAAAGCAGGGGAUCGCAAGACCUUGCGUUAUACGAGCGGCCGAUGUCAGAUGAGCUAGUUGGGGAGGUAAAGGCUCACCAAGGCGACGAUCUGUAGCGGGUCUGAGAGGAUGAUCCGCCACACUGGGACUGAGACACGGCCCAGACUCCUACGGGAGGCAGCAGUGGGGAAUUUUGGACAAUGGGGGCAAACCUGAUCCAGCAAUGCCGCGUGUGUGAAGAAGGCCUGCGGGUUGUAAAGCACUUUAGGUGGGGAGGAAAAGCAGAGGGUUAAUAAGCCUUUGUAUUGACAUUACCCACAGAAUAAGCACCGGCUAACUCUGUGCCAGCCGCCGCGGUAA
rnacentral:rRNA from 1 species